rnacentral:rRNA from 1 species
UACGUAGGGUGCAAGCGUUGUCCGGUUUUAUUGGGCGUAAAGAGCUCGUAGGCGGUUUGUCGCGUCGGAUGUGAAAACCCAGGGCUCAACCCUGGGCCUGCAUUCGAUACGGGCAGACUAGAGUAUGGCAGGGGAGACUGGAAUUCCCAGUGUAGAGGUGAAAUUCGUAGAUAUUGGGAAGAACACCGGUGGCGAAGGCGGCUCACUGGCCCGAAACUGACGCUCAUGCACGACAGCGUGGGGAUCAAACAGG